rnacentral:ncRNA from 2 species
UGAAACCUUCGGGGCCAGGUGAGGCGGCAAUCCGCCAAUUCCUGACCGGCGGUAAUCUCGAACGAGGAGCCCGCGAGCCGAAAGGCAGGAGUCCGGUGAGAUUCCGGCGCCGACAGUAUAGUCUGGAUGGGAGAAGGGUAGG